rnacentral:rRNA from 1 species
GUGUCAGCAGCCGCGGUAAUACGGAGGAUGCAAGCGUUAUCCGGAUUUAUUGGGUUUAAAGGGUGCGUAGGCGGGAUCAUAAGUCAGUGGUGAAACCCUGCAGCUUAACUGUAGACUUGCCAUUGAUACUGUGGUUCUUGAGUGUGGUCAAGGGAGGCGGAAUGUGUAAUGUAGCGGUGAAAUGCUUAGAUAUUACACAGAACACCAAUUGCGAAGGCAGCUUUCUGGGCCAUUACUGACGCUGAUGCACGAAAGCGUGGGGAGCGAACAGGAUUAGAUACCCUGGUAGUCCACGCCGUAAACGAUGAUCACUAGCUGUUGGCGAUAUACUGUCAGCGGCAAAGCAAAAGCAUUAAGUGAUCCACCUGGGGAGUACGGCCGCAAGGCUGAAACUCAAAUGAAUUGACGGGG